CAGUAUAAAACUAGUUUUUAAAUAAGAUUAUCAAUUAUCACAUAUUAUACUACGUCAAGUCAAUCGUCGUGCUAUAUUUUUAUUAUCAUUUGUCAGUUUUGUGGUGUUAGUAUAUUAUAAUAAUAAACUCUGCGAUGAAAGAAUAAAAACUUACUGCCAAUUUUACAGCUUUAGAAACGGAUGUAUUAAUAUCAUUAGUGAAAAAAUAUAAAGACACCGGGGAAUGUCUGAAGACAGAUACAGUAAAUGAUGAGUAUAGUAAAAUAACACUCGAGUUCAAAACGGUCAAAACAAUUUUGUUACUAAGUCACGGCAUUGGAAAUUUACAACAAUGAUAAUAACACGAGAUGAUAACUCAAAAAUUAACUUAUCAUUGUAUAACCAACCUCGGGCGGUCGGUUAACUUAACGGACCUAAAAUCAACGAUUAAUAAGUGAACGGGCAACAUACAACAUAACAAAGGUCUUAAUAAUUGAUUAUAGUCCG